rnacentral:rRNA from 1 species
GACAGAGGGUGCAAACGUUGUCCGGAAUUACUGGCGUAAAGAGCUCGUAGGUGGUUUGUCGCGUUGUUCGUGAAAACUCACAGCUCAACUGUGGGCGUGCGGGCGAUACGGGCAGACUGGAGUACUGCAGGGGAGACUGGAAUUCCUGGUGUAGCGGUGGAAUGCGCAGAUAUCAGGAGGAACACCGGUGGCGAAGGCGGGUCUCUGGACCACAACUGACGCUGAGGCGCGAAAGCUAGGGGAGCAAACAGG